GUUGAAACAUUAGUUCCUGUAUGAUCAUUGAAGUUAAGCAAUAUUAAGCCUGGUCAGUACCUAGAUGGGUGACCGCUUGGAAAUACCAGGUGCUGUAAG
rnacentral:rRNA from 1 species